rnacentral:rRNA from 1 species
UACGAAGGGGGCUAGCGUUGUUCGGAAUUACUGGGCGUAAGGCGCACGUAGGCGGAUUUGCCAGUCAGGGGUGAAAUCCCGGGGCUCAACCUCGGAACUGCCUCUGAUACAGCAAGUCUUGAGUCCGGAAGAGGUGGGUGGAAUUCCUAGUGUAGAGGUGAAAUUCGUAGAUAUUCGCAAGAACACCAGUGGCGAAGGCGGCUCACUGGCCCGGUACUGACGCUGAGAUACGAAAGCGUGGGGAGCAAACAGG